CCUGCAAUAGUAUUGGGAAAAAUGGAUACUUUUAUGGGAAGGAGAAGACCUACCAAUAUAUUAUAUAUAAUUUAUUUAUCCAAUUAGAAAAAUAAAGAGAGUAAAGGGAAGGGGGGCAAAACAACCUGGGGAUGAGUAUUGCCUUCAAUAGCCUGAAUCCACUUCUAGUUACUUCAUUCAGUCACUAAUGGGCUUCCCCCACAGAGAAAACUCUAAAGCCGUCCGGCCAGUAAUGUGGAAUUUAGAGGCCACAGGAGGCUGUGUAAAGGAAAUUUUGUGGGCUAAAAGCAACAGAAAAAUAAAGGAAAAUGUAAGUCUUAUCUUCCAUUGGCAUAAGAAAUAAUAAAAAAACAAGGUUCCGCAAUAAAGCAAGGCUCAAAAAGAUAGGUCAGGAGCCAAUCUCAAAUCCUGUCAACUUCCAAUUUCUAUUUAUCCUCCCAUCCCUUUAAAGCAAUUCUGCAUUCCAAAUGACCCAUUCUAGCGAUUUUAUCAUUAGCGAUAUCCAUAUCGACAGCCAAAUCUCAAAGCACAAUGACCUCGUUUUUCAAUAUUGGUGGGAUACAAUUAAAAACAGGCAUGCCUGCCUUAAUGACUGAAAAUAAUUUUCCAUGCCAAUUAACCAUCUUUCUGUAACCUUAAAUCUAAUUCAAGCAUCAAAAGCGAUGCCACCAGGAUUGAGGUCCUCGCUCUCCCAAGCAUGUAACAUAGGGUGAUAUCGAGAUGGCUCCAAUGGAGGAAAAAGAAAAAUAAAACAUUAGAUAAAUUUAAAGCUUCAUCCAAUUGCAAAACAAAAUCUAUAUAAGCAACAACCACACGAAACAAAACAGCCUCAAAACUACAUAGGUUAUAAACCCUUUAAGAGUAUAAAAUCCAAUAACAGAGGAUUGGAUUAUUACUUGGGCAGGCAAGGGCUAAUAAAUAUUCCGGAGACAGAAAAACAGCUAACAAUGUUUGCACAGAGUUACAGAAAAAGGCAUUCAACCGGACAGAUUGCUGUAGACCUCAAUCAUCCUUCUUGACAGUGGCAGACUUGAUUAUGUCAAUGAAUUCCGGCUUCAGAGAUGCUCCACCAACCAAAAAUCCAUCAACAUCUGGUUUUGCGGCCAACUCUUUGCAGUUUGCACCAUUUACAGAACCUAACGUGAGGCAAGACGUGCAAAAGUAAGUUCCAUGCAGAAUUUAUCAUUCAAGUUGGUUGCCAUAAUAAGGAAACGGAUUGAUCUUCCCUACCAGAUGACUGUAGGGUGCUCUCUCUUUCUCCCACAACCAGAAACAUUGCAAUACAGUUAAAAAUUUGUAAUUUCUUAAAACACAAUAUAAUCAUAUGAUUUGCUAAGUUGGGUUCAGCCUUGUUAGGCCAUACUCCAUAGGCUUUGCCAUCAGUAAACAUUUUUAACAAAAUUAAUAAUAUCAUGAAGGAGCAAGCAAGAGGAUGAGUAGAGACAACUUGCUCAUACGCAACAAUUGGCAGAUUGUUCAGUCUACAAACAGUUGUUAAUUUUAAAAGCAGAGCCAAAAAUAAUUUAAGAUUACCUCCAUAGAUAAUUCUUGUUGAUGCCGCAACUUCAGCACAAACAUUGUCGUGCAACCAUUUCCUCAAUUCCAAAUGGACCUAGUACAUUUAUCAACCAGAUGUAGUAAAAGCAAUCAGCUUCAGUAAGUACUUAAGCUGCUUCCCAUCAAAUCAAUGAGGGACCUAUGCAUAGACUUAUUAUACUAACAUGGAAAAGGGUUAUAAGCUGCAUUGGAGACACAUGCGUCAUGAAUUAGCAUAAUGUAAAUCAACCAUAAAGAGUUUUGUACAUGACAAGCAAAUUAUUUUACAAUUGGCAUAAAAACAGUCUGUGUUGAUGUGCUAUUCUCACACAGAGAAGAGAGUUCUAUGCAUUACAAACAAACCCUUAAGAAUUACAUAGAAUCCACAGAAUUUAAAUACAUGAACUGAGGUAGAAAAUAACUGUAAAUGUGCUGAUUUCAGAAACAAAACAUUGACUAAAUAAGUUGUCAAAUUUACACUAACCUCUUGAGCCUGAGCAGGUGUUGCAACCUUUCCCGUACCAAUGGCCCAAACUGGCUCAUAGGCCAACACAACAUUAGCCCAAUUGGUUACUUUGUCUGCUAUUGCUUUUGUUUGUGCAGCAACAACAGCCAAUGUAGAUCCAGAUUCUCUCUGCUCAAGGGUCUCACCAAUACAAGCAAUCACUUUUAAACCUUUAGAAAGUGCAUACGCAACUUUAUCCCCAACAAACUCAUUUGACUCAUUUAAAAGCGAUCUUCGUUCAGAAUGGCCGAGAAUGACCCAUGGAACAGACAAAUUCACUAUCAUCUCAGCACUAAUCUCUCCGGUAAAAGCACCACCUUUACGUACCCAACAGUUUUGUGCUGCAACCUGGAAGUCGGGUCUCAGUAAACCUUUUACCAGUGAAAGAAAUACAAAGGGAGGGCUCACAACAACCUCCACAACAUCCUCAGAAGGGACCUCGGCUUCGUUCAAAAUGGUGACAAUCUUCUUCACCUCCUCAGUCGUUCCAUUCUGCAACUCCCCAAAACAAAAAUUCAAACAAAUAAACUCAACCCAUUAGUAAACGAUGCAAUUAGCACACAAUCACACCGAGACACUGCCUCUCAAGUUGCGUCAAUUUCACAUGCAAAUCAUGUUGAAAUAUCGCAUUUGAACCCAUCAGAUCUAUUAACACCCACAAAAAUCAAAACAGAUAAAAACGAUAGGAUUGUUCAAGUCAAUGAACGGUGAUCAAAUUUGAAGAUCGGUAUAAUUCCAUAGCACAAACUCUCCAAAAAAGAAAUAAAAUAAAAAGAAAAAAAGAAGCAAAAUUAAAACCACAACACAAGCAACAAUAAAGAAGAGCGAGCAAAACAAAGUAAAAAGAGUAAGAAAUCGGAGACGUACGCAUUU
rnacentral:misc_RNA from 1 species